rnacentral:rRNA from 1 species
UACGGAGGGUGCAAGCGUUAAUCGGAAUCACUGGGCGUAAAGCGUGCGCAGGCGGUUUGUUAAGUCCGCUGUGAAAUCCCCGAGCUCAACUUGGGAAUUGCAGUGGAUACUGGCAGGCUGGAGUACGGUAGAGGAAGGUGGAAUUCCCGGUGUAGCAGUGAAAUGCGUAGAGAUCGGGAGGAACACCAGUGGCGAAGGCGGCCUUCUGGACCAGUACUGACGCUCAUGCACGAAAGCGUGGGGAGCAAACAGG